CCUACUUUUUUCUUCAUUUUUUAAUAUUUUACAAUUUUUUCAACCCUGAUCCAGCCAUGCCGCGUGUGUGAAGAAGGCCCUCGGGUUGUAAAGCACUUUCAGUGAGGAAGAACGCCUGGUGGUUAAUACCCAUCAGGAAAGACAUCACUCACAGAAGAAGCACCGGCUAACUCCGUGCCAGCAGCCGCGGUAAUACGGAGGGUGCGAGCGUUAAUCGGAAUUACUGGGCGUAAAGCGCGCGUAGGUGGCUUGAUAAGCCGGUUGUGAAAGCCCCGGGCUCAACCUGGAACGGCAUCCGGAACUGUCAAGCUAGAGUGCAGGAGAGGAAGGUAGAAUUCCCGGUGUAGCGGUGAAAUGCGUAGAGAUCGGGAGGAAUACCAGUGGCGAAGGCGGCCUUCUGGACUGACACUGACACUGAGGUGCGAAAGCGUGGGUAGCAAACAGGAUUAGAUACCCUAGUAGUC
rnacentral:rRNA from 1 species